rnacentral:rRNA from 1 species
CGUGUAGGCGGUUGGGUAAGUCAGAUGUGAAAGCCUUCUUCUUAACAGAAGAAGUGCAUUUGAAACUGCUCGGCUAGAGUACGGGAGAGGAGAGUGGAAUUCCCGGUGUAGAGGUGAAAUUCGUAGAUAUUCGGAGGAACACCGGUGGCGAAGGCGGCUUCCUGGCAUGUAACUGACACUCAUGUUCGAAAGCGUGGGGAGCAAACAGGAUUAGAUACCCUGGUAGUCCACGCCCUAAACGAUGGGCACUAGGUGUGGGAGGUAUCGACCCCUUCCGUGCCGCAGCUAACGCAUUAAGCGCCCCGCCUGGGGAGUACGGCCGCAAGGUUGAA